UACGUAGGUGGCAAGCGUUAUCCGGAAUUAUUGGGCGUAAAGCGCGCGCAGGUGGUUUCUUAAGUCUGAUGUGAAAGCCCACGGCUCAACCGUGGAGGGUCAUUGGAAACUGGGAGACUUGAGUGCAGAAGAGAAGAGUGGAAUUCCACGUGUAGCGGUGAAAUGCGUAGAGAUGUGGAGGAACACCAGUGGCGAAGGCGACUCUUUGGUCUGUAACUGACACUGAGGCGCGAAAGCGUGGGGAGCAAACAGG
rnacentral:rRNA from 1 species